rnacentral:rRNA from 1 species
GACGAACGCUGGCGGCGUGCUUAACACAUGCAAGUCGAACGGUGAAGCGCCUUCCUUUUUGGUGGGUGUGGAUGAGUGGCGAACUGGUGAGUAACACGUGAGUAACCUUCCCCCUUCUUCUGGAUAACCGCAUGAAAGUGUGGCUAAUACUGGAUAUUCUGGUUCUGUCGCAUGAUGGGUCUGGGAAAGAUAUUGUUUCGGUGGGGGAUGGGCUCGCGGCCUAUCAGCUUGUUGGUGGGGUGAUGGCCUACCAAGGCGGUGACGGGUAGCCGGCCUGAGAGGGUGGACGGUCACAAUGGGAAUGAGACACGGCCAAGACUCAUACGGGAGGCAGCAGUGGGGAAUAUUGCACAAUGGGCGCAAGCAUGAUGCAGCGACGCCGCGUGAGGGAUGGAGGCCUUCGGGUUGUGAACCUCUUUCGCCAGUGAAGCAGGCCUGCCUCGUUUGUGGGUGGGUUGACGGUAGCUGGAUAAGAAGCGCCGGCUAACUACGUG